rnacentral:rRNA from 1 species
CCUACGGGAGGCAGCAGUGAGGAAUAUUGCCCAAUGGCCGAAAGGCUGACGCAGCAACGCCGCGAUGGAUGAUGAAGCACUUUUGUGUGUAAAAUCCUGUUGAGAGGGAAGAAUCUCCGCCUUCUGGCGGGACUGACGGUACCUCUAAAGAAAGCUCCGGCCAACUCCGUGCCAGCAGCCGCGGUAAU